rnacentral:rRNA from 1 species
AGUGAACGCUGGCGGUAGGCCUAACACAUGCAAGUCGAACGGCAGCACAGUAAGAGCUUGCUCUUACGGUUGGCGAGUGGCGUACGGGUGCGGAAUACAUCGGAAUCUACUUUUUCGUGGGUGCUAACGUAGGGAAACUUACGCUAAUACCGCAUACGUCCUACGGGUGAAAUCAGUGGAUCUUCGCACCUUUCGCUUUUGAUUUAGCCGAUUUCGGAUUAGCUAGUUGGCGGGGUAAAGGCCCACCAAGGCGACGAUCCGUAGAUGGUCUGAGAGGAUGAGCAGCAAAACUGGAACUGAGACAGGGAAAAGACUCCUACGGGAGGCAGCAGGGGGGAAUAUUGGACAAGGGGCGAAAGCAUGAUCCAGCAAAACCGCGUGGGUGAAGAAGGACUUAGGGUUGUAAAGACAUUUUGUUGGGAAAGAAAAGAAGCAGGUUAAUAACCCGAUGUACUGACGGUACCAAAAGAAUAAGCACCGGCUAACUACGUG